AUGAAUUUUAAAAUUAUUUUUCCCAGCUCUUCGAAAUGAUUUUGUGGUAGUUUGAUUGGUAUGUCACUGAAUAGGUUAAUUAAUUUAGACAGAAAUGUCCUUUUAUUUUAUUGUCUCAAACUACCCCUGAGCAGUUAAUAUUUAUCCAAUUAUUUUGGUCCAACUUUAUUUGUGUGAAAAAAAAAUGUUUUGUAAUUGUGUUCAUCUAAUUUGUGGAUUUGUCUUUCUCUUUUGCUGGUGGACUGUGUUGGUGGUAAAUAGAAAUGCUGAUGAUUUAGGAUAAGUUCAAACUUGAGAAGAAGAGGAAAACAAAUGAAGGAUGCUAAGUGAAAUCUCUUAUGCAUUUAUCAACAAAACAAGGCCCAAAUGGAAUAAAGUGACUUGACCAAAAUCAUAUAUGGAUGCAGAAAUGGAAUCCUGAUUCAAAAUUAAAUCAUGAGACUGCAUAUCCAACACUAUUCCUGCCCAUGAGUUCUUUAAUUCAACUAAGAAUUUAUUCAACUAAAUACAGAUCCACUAUCAGAAAUCUAUCAAACCCACAAAAAGCAUUUAUUAAACUCCCCUUUUAUGUGCCAACCACUGUACUAAGCUCUGAGGACACAAAGACAAAAUUAAACUUUCCCUGCCCUGUAGAAGCUUAUAUUCUCCUGGGGCAAAAGAGGUAAGGAUCAACUCACAUCUUGUAUGUAUUAAGUACAUAAAAAGUAUUAAAAUACAACUUAUUAAUUU